UACAGAGGGUGCGAGCGUUAAUCGGAAUUACUGGGCGUAAAGCGCGCGUAGGCGGCUUUGCAAGUCGGGUGUGAAAUCCCCAGGCUUAACCUGGGAACUGCAUUCGAGACUGCAUUGCUAGAGUAUGGGAGAGGGAAGUGGAAUUUCCGGUGUAGCGGUGAAAUGCGUAGAUAUCGGAAGGAACUCAGUGGCGAAAGCGACUCCUGGACCAAUACUGACGCUCAUGUGCGAAAGCGUGGGGAGCAACAGG
rnacentral:rRNA from 1 species